rnacentral:rRNA from 1 species
UGAUGGGAGCUUGCUCCCUGAUGUUAGCGGCGGACGGGUGAGUAACACGUGGGCAACCUGCCCUGUAGUUGGGGAUAACUCCGGGAAACCGGGGCUAAUACCGAAUAAUACAAUUUAGCUCCUGCUAGGUUGUUGAAAGAUGGUUUCGGCUAUCACUACAGGAUGGGCCCGCGGCGCAUUAGCUAGUUGGUAGGGUAACGGCCUACCAAGGCGACGAUGCGUAGCCGACCUGAGAGGGUGAUCGGCCACACUGGGACUGAGACACGGCCCAGACUCCUACGGGAGGCAGCAGUAGGGAAUCUUCCACAAUGGACGAAAGUCUGAUGGAGCAACGCCGCGUGAGUGAAGAAGGUUUUCGGA